rnacentral:rRNA from 1 species
CCUACGGGAGGCAGCAGUGGGGAAUCUUGCACAAUGGAGGAAACUCUGAUGCAGCGAUGCCGCGUGAGUGAAGAAGGCCUUUGGGUUGUAAAGCUCUUUUGUAGGGGAAGAUAAUGACUGUACCCUAAGAAUAAGGUCCGGCUAACUUCGUGCCAGCAGCCGCGGUAAUACGAAGGGACCUAGCGUAGUUCGGAAUUACUGGGCGUAAAGCGCGCGUAGGCCGUUGAGUUAGUUAAUUGUGAAAUCCCAAAGCUUAACUUUGGAACUGCAAUUAAAACUGCUCGACUAGAGUUUGAUAGAGGAAAGCGGAAUACAUAGUGUAGAGGUGAAAUUCGUAGAUAUUAUGUAGAACACCAGUUGCGAAGGCGGCUUUCUGGAUCAACACUGACGCUGAGGCGCGAAAGUAUGGGUAGCAAAGAGGAUUAGAUACCCUCGUAGUCCAUACCAUAAACGAUGAUUGCUAGAUGUUGGAAAUUUAUUUUCAGUAUCGCAGCUAACGCAUUAAGCAAUCCGCCUGGGGAGUACGACCGCAAGGUUAAACUCAAAUGAAUUGACGGNUUGAGAGUUGCGAGCGACGACGAGGGAGAG